rnacentral:rRNA from 1 species
CCCUUAGAUGUUCUGGGCGGCCCGCGCACUACAUUGGCACUGGCAACAAGAUCCUAGAUCUGGUAUUUCGGGGUAUUCUACCAACUGGUGUCGUGACUGGGAUUAACCCCUGCAAUUAUUGGUUAUGAACGAGGAAUUCCUUGUAAUCACGGUUUAUCAACCCGUGUUGAAUGCGUCCCUGCCCUUUGUACACACCGCCCGUCGCUCCUACCGAUGAAUCGUCCGGUGAAGUUCAUGGAGUCGCGGCUGCUCCAGCUGUUUUCGAAGUGAAAUGGACCUCAUGAUUUAGAGGAAGGUGAAGUCGUAACA